rnacentral:lncRNA from 1 species
GGCUCCUGUGUCUAUGCCUGCUUUUGACUGCCCAGUUGAAGCCUCUUCCUAUGCCUUUUAAAAUUUCACGCACUAUAAGGAGGAAGAGCUCAGGGCUCCCAAAACUUUUUAUUUAGAGGGAAGAAUGCUAGGGAGAUGGGUAUGCAGAGGGUUGACCAAAUUGGAAGAAAAUAUUUAUUCUGUAGUUUGGUGUUGGAAAAGGGAAUUUUCCAAUCAGCCACACCUCAGUGUUGCGGCAAAAUAAUUCUUGGCUCCCCUGGAAACGCAUGGGCAAGGUAGGGCAGAGCUGCUGCUGCUGAUACUGCCACCACCCUGGGCUUCCUGCUGACUCUGGGCUACUCCCUGGGGACAACAGAUUUGCAUUGACGUCCGGGGCUGUCCAGAGGCCCUCAAGAGCCAGUUGUGAGCUGAGCCCAGUAUGGGAAAGAUCUACCUUCUGGAAGCUACUACUACGUGGUGCUUGGAAAGGUGAGGAUGGGGGACUGACCCCAGGAAAUUGCUCGAAACUCCGCAUCUGGUGGGAUUUCCAGAAAAGUCAGUGGGAGACGGGAGGUUUGGAGGCCCCGGGUUAGAAAGGUUUGUCAGUCUAGGGAAUGAGGAGAAUCAGAAUAAAACUAGGGCAGCAGGCUGUCCGCCUUUGGUUGGGGGAGGGAGGCCUCGAAAAAUCAGGGUCCCGGCUCUCUAACCUGUCUUUGUCGCAGGUCUCACGUUUGUGGGGAGGGGGUUUACCAAGCCCUGCGCCAUGCGCAGUGGCCCCCACCCGUGACUGCGCAUCUGGAAGCGCAGUGCGCCCUGGGUCUCUGGCCUAGGACGAGCACCGCCCUUCUUAUUACAUAACUGAGGGCAUGGCACGCGCCUUCUCGGCCCUUCCUUGCAACCCUACCUUCUUGCUCCCCAGGGCCCAUAGAGCUGGGGAGGGUCUGACUGGGUAGCAGUGAAGGACUGCAAUCCCUGGGAGGGCUAACUCUUGUCUAGUUACUGGCAGGAGCCAAGCUUGAGGACAAAA